rnacentral:rRNA from 1 species
CGGUCCAGACUCCUACGGGAGGCAGCAGUGGGGAAUAUUGCACAAUGGGCGCAAGCCUGAUGCAGCCAUGCCGCGUGUGUGAAGAAGGCCUUCGGGUUGUAAAGCACUUUCAGCGGGGAGGAAGGCGGUGAGGUUAAUAACCUUGUCGAUUGACGUUACCCGCAGAAGAAGCACCGGCUAACUCCGUGCCAGCAGCCGCGGUAAUACGGAGGGUGCAAGCGUUAAUCGGAAUUACUGGGCGUAAAGCGCACGCAGGCGGUCUGUCAAGUCGGA